UGCCAGCCGCCGCGGUAAUACGGAGGGUGCAAGCGUUAUCCGGAAUCACUGGGUUUAAAGGGUGCGUAGGCGGCGUAAUAAGUCAGAGGUGAAAGGCUGUAGCUCAACUACAGAAUUGCCUUUGAUACUGUUAUGCUUGAAAUAAAUUGAGGUUGGCGGAAUGAGUCAUGUAGCGGUGAAAUGCAUAGAUAUGACUUAGAACACCAAUUGCGAAGGCAGCUGACUAGAUUUUAUUUGACGCUGAGGCACGAAAGCGUGGGGAGCGAACAGGAUUAGAUA
rnacentral:rRNA from 1 species